ACGAGGUAUGAUGGUGCACAUCUGUAAUUACAUUUCCUUGGGAAGUUAAAACUGGCAGAACUCUUGAGCUCCAGAAAUCUGAGAUCUAUGUACGGCUAAGCUGAUCAGGUGUUUGCACUAAGUUCAGCAUUAAGAUAUGUGAAGGGUAGGGAAAAGGGGACACCAGGUUGCCUAAGGAAAGGUGAACUGGCCCAGGUCAGAAACAGAACAGGUCAAAACUCCUAUGCUGAUCAGUAGUGGGAUCAUCCCAGGAGUAGCCUCUGUACUUCCAGCCUGGGUGAGAAAGGAAAAUCUAGUCUUUA
rnacentral:SRP_RNA from 1 species